rnacentral:rRNA from 1 species
UACCCCGAGGAAAAGAAAUCAACCGAGAUUCCCCCAGUAGCGGCGAGCGAACGGGGAGGAGCCCAGAGCCUGAAUCAGUGUGUGUGUUAGUGGAAGCGUCUGGAAAGGCGCGCGAUACAGGGUGACAGCCCCGUACACAAAAAUGCACAUGCUGUGAGCUCGAUGAGUAGGGCGGGACACGUGGUAUCCUGUCUGAAUAUGGGGGGACCAUCCUCCAAGGCUAAAUACUCCUGACUGACCGAUAGUGAACCAGUACCGUGAGGGAAAGGCGAAAAGAACCCCGGCGAGGGGAGUGAAAAAGAACCUGAAACCGUGUACGUACAAGCAGUGGGAGCCUCUUUAUGGGGUGACUGCGUACCUUUUGUAUAAUGGGUCAGCGACUUAUAUUCUGUAGCAAGGUUAACCGAAUAGGGGAGCCGAAGGGAAACCGAGUCUUAACUGGGCGUUAAGUUGCAGGGUAUAGACCCGAAACCCGGUGAUCUAGCCAUGGGCAGGUUGAAGGUUGGGUAACACUAACUGGAGGACCGAACCGACUAAUGUUGAAAAAUUAGCGGAUGACUUGUGGCUGGGGGUGAAAGGCCAAUCAAACCGGGAGAUAGCUGGUUCUCCCCGAAAGCUAUUUAGGUAGCGCCUCGUGAAUUCAUCUCCGGGGGUAGAGCACUGUUUCGGCAAGGGGGUCAUCCCGACUUACCAACCCGAUGCAAACUGCGAAUACCGGAGAAUGUUAUCACGGGAGACACACGGCGGGUGCUAACGUCCGUCGUGAAGAGGGAAACAACCCAGACCGCCAGCUAAGGUCCCAAAGUCAUGGUUAAGUGGGAAACGAUGUGGGAAGGCCCAGACAGCCAGGAUGUUGGCUUAGAAGCAGCCAUCAUUUAAAGAAAGCGUAAUAGCUCACUGGUCGAGUCGGCCUGCGCGGAAGAUGUAACGGGGCUAAACCAUGCACCGAAGCUGCGGCAGCGACACUAUGUGUUGUUGGGUAGGGGAGCGUUCUGUAAGCCUGUGAAGGUGUGCUGUGAGGCAUGCUGGAGGUAUCAGAAGUGCGAAUGCUGACAUAAGUAACGAUAAAGCGGGUGAAAAGCCCGCUCGCCGGAAGACCAAGGGUUCCUGUCCAACGUUAAUCGGGGCAGGGUGAGUCGACCCCUAAGGCGAGGCCGAAAGGCGUAGUCGAUGGGAAACAGGUUAAUAUUCCUGUACUUGGUGUUACUGCGAAGGGGGGACGGAGAAGGCUAUGUUGGCCGGGCGACGGUUGUCCCGGUUUAAGCGUGUAGGCUGGUUUUCCAGGCAAAUCCGGAAAAUCAAGGCUGAGGCGUGAUGACGAGGCACUACGGUGCUGAAGCAACAAAUGCCCUGCUUCCAGGAAAAGCCUCUAAGCAUCAGGUAACAUCAAAUCGUACCCCAAACCGACACAGGUGGUCAGGUAGAGAAUACCAAGGCGCUUGAGAGAACUCGGGUGAAGGAACUAGGCAAAAUGGUGCCGUAACUUCGGGAGAAGGCACGCUGAUAUGUAGGUGAAGUCCCUCGCGGAUGGAGCUGAAAUCAGUCGAAGAUACCAGCUGGCUGCAACUGUUUAUUAAAAACACAGCACUGUGCAAACACGAAAGUGGACGUAUACGGUGUGACGCCUGCCCGGUGCCGGAAGGUUAAUUGAUGGGGUCAGCGCAAGCGAAGCUCUUGAUCGAAGCCCCGGUAAACGGCGGCCGUAACUAUAACGGUCCUAAGGUAGCGAAAUUCCUUGUCGGGUAAGUUCCGACCUGCACGAAUGGCGUAAUGAUGGCCAGGCUGUCUCCACCCGAGACUCAGUGAAAUUGAACUCGCUGUGAAGAUGCAGUGUACCCGCGGCAAGACGGAAAGACCCCGUGAACCUUUACUAUAGCUUGACACUGAACAUUGAGCCUUGAUGUGUAGGAUAGGUGGGAGGCUUUGAAGUGUGGACGCCAGUCUGCAUGGAGCCGACCUUGAAAUACCACCCUUUAAUGUUUGAUGUUCUAACGUUGACCCGUAAUCCGGGUUGCGGACAGUGUCUGGUGGGUAGUUUGACUGGGGCGGUCUCCUCCUAAAGAGUAACGGAGGAGCACGAAGGUUGGCUAAUCCUGGUCGGACAUCAGGAGGUUAGUGCAAUGGCAUAAGCCAGCUUGACUGCGAGCGUGACGGCGCGAGCAGGUGCGAAAGCAGGUCAUAGUGAUCCGGUGGUUCUGAAUGGAAGGGCCAUCGCUCAACGGAUAAAAGGUACUCCGGGGAUAACAGGCUGAUACCGCCCAAGAGUUCAUAUCGACGGCGGUGUUUGGCACCUCGAUGUCGGCUCAUCACAUCCUGGGGCUGAAGUAGGUCCCAAGGGUAUGGCUGUUCGCCAUUUAAAGUGGUACGCGAGCUGGGUUUAGAACGUCGUGAGACAGUUCGGUCCCUAUCUGCCGUGGGCGCUGGAGAACUGAGGGGGGCUGCUCCUAGUACGAGAGGACCGGAGUGGACGCAUCACUGGUGUUCGGGUUGUCAUGCCAAUGGCACUGCCCGGUAGCUAAAUGCGGAAGAGAUAAGUGCUGAAAGCAUCUAAGCACGAAACUUGCCCCGAGAUGA